AACUCAGCUGAAUUCCCCAGGAUGGGUCACCACGUGGCACAGCUGGCUCUGUUCGUCGGUGACCCAGACGAGGACAUCAGCCGGCAGGCCAGGGAGGGGGUUUACCGGCUCUACCAGCUCCUGCUGCGCCAGAGGGACCUGAACAUCCAUGAGGUCGAAGACCUUUGGUGCUGGGACUGGCACCAGGACAGCAGGCUCCUCGGCUAUAAGAACACCGCCAAGGUGGGGGAGGUAAGGACACUCUGCCAGGGCAUGGCACAGCUCUGCAGGGCAGGUGGCUGCCUCCUGGAGCCAUGCGACGGAGUUGCCGUUCUAGGCCAGGAUUUGGAGCCUGGUUCGGGGCAAUCUGCUGAAGCCUCACAUCUGGUUGGUUUCAGGUUUUUGCCAAAUUUUUCUCAGAGGGGCAGAGAAGAUUCUUCCUGCAGACAGCAGUGCUGGCCAUGCACGACCCCCUGCUGCGUGUCAGCCAGGCUGGGCUGCUCCUUACUUACUCCCUCCUGGGGCAAGCCGAGCAGCUGAUGGGGAGCAAGCAGGAGGUCGUCACGGCCAACAUAAUGAACCAACUUCACAUCAUCCGGCACUUGCGCCAAGUGCCGGAGGCGCUGCAGGAAUUCUGCCUCCAAGGCCACCAGCAACUCCUGCUCCCUCUAAACGGGGAGUGUAGUGAGACUGAGUGGCCUCCCUCCGAGCAGGAGAGCAAGGGCCCCUCUACACGCCCCUUGGAGGGCAGAGCCUAUAUCGCCCCA